rnacentral:rRNA from 1 species
UACGUAGGGUGCAAGCGUUAAUCGGAAUUACUGGGCGUAAAGCGUGCGCAGGCGGUUUUGUGAGUCUGAUGUGAAAUCCCCGGGCUCAACCUGGGAAUUGCAUUGGAGACUGCAAGGCUAGAAUCUGGCAGAGGGGGGUAGAAUUCCACGUGUAGCAGUGAAAUGCGUAGAGAUGUGGAGGAACACCGAUGGCGAAGGCAGCCCCCUGGGUCAAGAUUGACGCUCAUGCACGAAAGCGUGGGGAGCAAACAGG